UGUUCACUCACUAAGGUCUGAAGAAGAGAGGUUGAAAGAUUGAAAAAGGCAGCGAAAACAAAACACACUACAGGACGUAGAAAACUUCCCCCCCAAGAAGUCACAGCAUGCCACAUCUGCAUCCAGCUCUGCAGGAUCAGACGAUACUGAAAACAAAAUGCACGGCGAACUGGGAGCUGUGAACUGGGAUGCAGAUGUUCUUCUAAGGGACACCCUAGAGGCAGCAAGGUGGUGUGAACUCCAAACAUUUAAAGGCACUGUUUCCCUCCCUAGUGUAAUUGAGAUGGAGGGGGAAGACGCAUUACAACCCUUAAAGAACUACGGUUGUAUGAUGGACUGGAUCAAUAUUCUCCUCAAGGAACCAUUCAUGUUCCAGUUACAGAGAGAUUAUGAGAUGUUCUAUUUGGAGGCAGUUGACAACAAGACAAUUACUGUCUUUAUCUCUUUUGAGGAGCAGGAGUGAAGCCAUUUUUGAGGAGUGGUCAAACCUUGUUUUUGUAUGCUGUGCUAAUUGUUUCAAUUGUUAAUUAUGUUAUGUUGUUUAGUAAAGAUGACAUAGAAGUCACCCGAGUCUCUGAUCUCUUUACCGGAGCUGGUA
rnacentral:lncRNA from 1 species